rnacentral:tRNA from 1 species
GGGUUCAUGGCCUAAUGGUAAGGCGUCAGAUUUCGGUUCCAUCCUUGGUUCUCCGCCCUCUGAAGAUUGCAGGUUCGAUCCCUGCUGAGCUCG